GAAUAUUGCACAAUGGGCGCAAGCCUGAUGCAGCGACGCCGCGUGUGGGAUGAAGGGGCUACGCCUCGUAAACCACUGUAGCCCGGGACGAAAAACGCCUUAGAGGCGUUAGACGGUACCGGGAAAGUAAGGGUCGGCUAACUACGUGCCAGCAGCCGCGGUAUUACGUAGGACCCAAGAGUUGUCCGGAUUUACUUGGUGUAAAGGGUGUGCAGGCGGAUGGGUAAGUCAGGGGUUAAAGUCUGCAGCUUAACUGUAGA
rnacentral:rRNA from 1 species